UACGGAGGGUGCAAGCGUUAAUCGGAAUUACUGGGCGUAAAGCGCGCGUAGGUGGUUGGGUAAGUCAAAUGUGAAAGCCCCGGGCUUAACCUGGGAAUUGCAUUCGAUACUGCUUAACUAGAGUGUGGGAGAGGGAAGUGGAAUUUCCGGUGUAGCGGUGAAAUGCGUAGAUAUCGGAAGGAACACCAGUGGCGAAGGCGACUUCCUGGCCCAACACUGACACUGAGGCGCGAAAGCGUGGGUAGCAAACAGGAUUAGAUACCCUGGCAGUCCACGCCGUAAACGAUGAGAACUAGAUGUCGGGGGGAUUUGCCCUUCGGUGUCGCAGUUAACGCAUUAAGUUCUCCGCCUGGGGAGUACGCCGGCAACGGUAAA
rnacentral:rRNA from 1 species